UACGAAGGGGGCUAGCGUUACUCGGAAUGACUGGGCGUAAAGGGCGCGUAGGCGGUUUGUCACGUCUGCUGUGAAAACUGGAGGCUCAACCUCCAGCCUGCAGUGGGUACGGGCAGACUAGAGUGCGGUAGGGGAGAUUGGAAUUCCUGGUGUAGCGGUGAAAUGCGCAGAUAUCAGGAGGAACACCGAUGGCGAAGGCAGGUCUCUGGGCAGUAACUGACGCUGAGGAGCGAAAGCGUGGGGAGCGAACAGG
rnacentral:rRNA from 1 species